rnacentral:rRNA from 1 species
UACGGGGGGGGCAAGCGUUGUUCGGAAUUACUGGGCGUAAAGGGCGCGUAGGCGGCCUGCUAAGUCACACGUGAAAUCCCUCGGCUCAACCGGGGAACUGCGUGUGAUACUGGCGGGCUUGAAUUCGGGAGAGGGAUGUGGAAUUCCAGGUGUAGCGGUGAAAUGCGUAGAUACCUGGAGGAACACCGGUGGCGAAGGCGGCAUCCUGGACCGAGAUUGACGCUGAGGCGCGAAAGCUAGGGGAGCAAACGGG